rnacentral:lncRNA from 1 species
UUAUUUAUUGCGAAGAAGCCUUUAUUGCGACCUGAUAACAUUGCGAAAAAAAAAGUAUUUGCGAAGUUGGACAAAACCUGGACUGUCGUACAAUGGAAUAAAAUGCUAUUGAGUGAUGAAAGUACCUUUACUGUUACCUGUGGAGCUAAAAGAGCUUAUGUUAUGAGAAUAGUAGUUUGUGCAUCGACUUCUCACGAAUUAUACAGAGUCGAUUGUCGAUGCAAUAAUUGCUGAUUCGUGAAAGCGGGCAACUUUUGCUUGUCUUAAAGUGCCUUAAAUCCAACAGAUAUCAUCGUUAUAAUAUUACUUUGUUUGUAAAUUGUUUUAAAAAAUAAAUUUAAAAAUAACUUUUAAAUAAA